UAGACAGAGAGAUAUGACCAGACUUGUGUUUUAGAAGAAUGGCUUUGGCAGCUGUAUGAGCAAAGCGUUGUCAGGAAGGAAGAACAAAUGCAGGGAGACAAGAUAAGAAGCUGCUGCAAUAGUCCAGGUAAAAGGUUAUGGAGAAUAAUGUAUCAUUUCCCAAAACUUAUUUGCAUAGCAUAUUUGUUAAAAAAAAAAAAAGAAAGAAAGAAAUAGUCUUAUCUUGUCUUAAGAGGCUUCCUAGCUAGAGUGAAAGUUGCCUCCGGAUCAAGAUCUUCCUGUUUGGAAGAACCAGCAAAAGUCUGCAGCUUAGCUUGCCUUGGGACUCACUCCCAGCCACUCCUUAAAUCUGAACCUGACAUCAGGUUCCAGCUUUUAGUUCUUGCCAAUCACCUGGUUUAUCAAAGCUUACAGGGUCUGUGACGUGCCGCUUUGUUUUUCUACAGCAUUUAUAACUUCCUGGAGUCUGCUUGGAGCAACUGCUUUGCCUUGCCUUGCCUUCCAAUACUCAAGCUCUUCAGCAGCCUCGCUGAGGUUGCCUGCCUGCAGAGCACAUGCUGUCCCAGCAGUGGUCCAGUUGGGAGGGGCUGGAGAGGUGCUAAGCCAAGAGGAUCCAGGGAGAGCAGAGGCAGCUCAACAAGAAGGGGUGUUAAGGGCCUUGCUCAGAAGCAGCCUGGCUCCGAGGAGCACAGAGCGGUUUGGCUGGAAGGUAAUGAACGCUCUUUGUCCGGCAGCGUCUCCCAGAUCCCGCUGCUGGGCUCUGCAGAGAUGGAGCUGGUAUGUUUCAGCUGCAUGCCCUCCUCACUACCCCUGCAGUCCCUGGCUGUGGUCUGGUCCUUUGCCGGGCCAAACUAUGUGAUCUCUUUUGGUGAGCUGGCAGCCACACGCUAUGAGCUGGACUCAACAGUAUAUGUCCCUGUUCCCUCGACUCAUUAUUUUACAACUAAACAAUCCGCACAUUUCUGUGAAAGCCUGUCUCCUCUUCUGAAUUCUGAACUGCGAUUCAUUCAGGAACACAUUUGAAGCUCUCUCAUCCUAAUGAAUGUCAGAUUACACGUUCAGGAAAAGAAAAAGGAUGGCUCUGUAAAGGAACAGUUAGUUACGUCUAAGUGAUGAAAGAUGUGAAUGCACUCUCAAAGUACUUGUUCUGAAUUAUUCCACUUCUGAGAGACUUAUUUGACUGUUAAGACCCAAGCCAGCUCCAGAAACAGUUGAAGCCUCAUGUUUCCGUCUGGCCUGGAGGACGCUGAGCUUACGGAAUUCCGAGCCAACACAGAGACUUUUCUUUAGAAUUGAGAUGAGGAGAGUGUUUUUUGUGUUUUCUUUCUUUCUUUUUUUUUUUUUUUUUUUUUUUUGGUUUUUGGGUUUGUUUGUUUUUUCCUACAGACUUAUGUUUCAGGAAAAAAUAAUCAGUGUCAGGCAAUUGUUUUCAGGGAGUGUGGUCUUCUGUUUAUUUUAUGUUUUUAAAACUUCAGGUAAGAAGAGUAGACUAAUCUCUAAAAAGGAAAUCAUGGUUGAUAGAAACCACGUUGAAGGGAAGGGCUACUCUUUCUCCGAGUUCUUCUGACGGGUCUCACUUACUAGUCUCCUGUAUGUGCGUAUAUCUGACAUGAGUAUAGGUAGAAAAAUGCAGUAAAUACAUCCUCCUAAACUUCUGAC
ensembl:lncRNA